GAGGGUAUAGCUCAGUGGUAGAGUACAUGCUUAGCAUGCAUGAGGUCCUGGGUUCAAUCCCCAGGACCUCCA
rnacentral:tRNA from 1 species